GGGGGCGACCGGUUUCGACGGGGAUACUGAGGUCACUGUCGCAUGUCGAGCUCUCGGGGACUCGUUAAACCUCCGGGAAACAAGCAACUGCCAAUCAAGAACUGGCACUCGCGGCUUAAUUAAGCCGUGACGUCGUUCCAUCUGAGGCCCGCGGGGGUGGAACGGCGCGAUGCAGCGGGCUGGUCCAAGGUCGGUGCUCAGCGGCCGAGGACGAGACAAUACUGGGCUAGCGGCCGUUCUAAGCCUGCCGAUGGGCGUGGGCGGCGGCGAAUUCAAAACACCGGCUACACAUGUAGAACCAGUGCACUGACGAUCUUCGGACCCGGGUUCAACUCCCGGCGCCUCCACCA
rfam:Candidatus Nitrospira inopinata isolate ENR4 genome assembly, chromosome: 1